CACCGGCAAAUGGCAAGUG
rnacentral:siRNA from 1 species